CCUACGGGUCGCAGCAGUGGGGAAUAUUGGGCAAUGGGCGCAAGCCUGACCCAGCAACGCCGCGUGAAGGAAGAAGGCUUUCGGGUUUUAAACUUCUUUUCUCAGGGACGAAGCAAGUGACGGUACCUGAGGAAUAAGCCACGGCUAACUACGUGCCAGCAGCCGCGGUAAUACGUAGGUGGCAAGCGUUAUACGGAUUUACUGGGUGUAAAGGGCGUGUAGGCGGGGACGCAAGUCAGCUGUGAAAACCACGGGCUCAACCUGUGGCCUGCAUUUGAAACUGUGUUUCUUGAGUACUGGAGAGGCAGACGGAUGUCUUAGUGUAGCGGUGAAAUGCGGAGAUAUUAGGAGGAACACCAGUGGCGAAGGCGGUCUGCUGGACAGCAACUGACGCUGAGGCGCGAAAGCGUGGGGAGCAAACAGGAUUAGAUACCCGGGUAGUC
rnacentral:rRNA from 1 species